rnacentral:snRNA from 1 species
AUUUUUUAUGUAACAAGCAUCAAUAAAAAUCUGUUCUUAUCAGCUUAAUAUCUGAUACGGUCCCUACAUGGGUCCGCGAUAUUAACGAUAUUUUUGUGACUUGGCGGGGUCCUUCCGGGCUUGCCCGGUACCUGCCAGGGUCAGCCCGACAUUGCAGUACAGUCGGGAUUGGCCUAGUUCCU